UUUCAGUUGCGUCUAUGUGGGUGCACUAGGUGUUUGUUAUUAUUUUGUGUGGGGGCUGGUGACAGCUGAAAGUGGGUUGGCAAAAACAGCCGCAUAAGCAUAUGCUUGAAAUGAUUAACAACAGGAGGUUGGGAAAAUGCUGUAUUUGAUUCAAAAUAGCAAAGUAUACCUUUAAUUAAAAUUACUGUGCUGAACAUUUUAGUGGUGGUAUUGCAGCUGGAUAUAAUGCAAUUUACUGCAGCGUAAUUUUGUUAAUUUGAGAUUUAACAAAAUCUUAGCAAAAUGUUAAAAUGAUCAAAAUUAAACUAUUUCAGAAAAUACCUGCAUUUAGGAAGAUUUUGAGAUCUGUUUUUUUACAAAUUUGUUUUUGUUGUGACUCUUUAAUGCAGGCGCUUCAGUGCAGAACUUGGAACCAGUCAAAAAUAUAGGCAUCUAAAGUGCUACAGAUUGACAUCUUUAGCUACUGAAUUACUGGAAUGAAUCUAGAAGCAGGUGUUUGAUCUUUAGGUCUGCUUGUAGAGUUGAAACCACCAAGCAGAGCUGCCUAAUCAACAGGGAACAGUAAGGGAAACAGGCCAAUUUCAGGAAUGUAGUUUUUAAUUUUCACUGCUACGGUGAGUAAACUGAUAGCCUUUGCAAAAAUAUGGAGUAACAUUCUGGGGAUAGGACCAGAGCGCACUGACUGACACGCAGAGGAUUUCUCUCUUUAGAAAACAUAAACCUUCAGAACUGCAGAACUGCAAAGGAUUUCAGAAAAUUACUCAGUCUGUCCCUGCACUGAGGCAGGAGCAAAUACUCCCAGACCAUGCUGGCACAUGCAGAUCCUAACUUUCAAAAACCUUCUGUGAAGGAAGCUCCUCUGGCUCCCCAGUUGAUCUGUUCUGGUGUCGCACUGUUAUAAUGCAACAUAACAGCGAUUCAGAAAAUGGCUGUGUUAUGUUUAUAGCAGGGACAAAUUUUCACUCCCAUGACAAUGUAAAGGAUUGCUAAAGUUUCAUAUUAAGUUUAACUUAAACUUUAGGACUUUUUUAUAUUGCUGGAGCAAUAUGAAAGGCCCACUAAUGUAAGUGAAAGCGAGGCUCUCUGUUUCUGAUGAUCUUUCUAUGGCUGUAGACUAGGAAAACUCCCUAGGACAAUGAUGGUAUUGGCUGCAUACAGGAAAGUUGAUCAUACACUUCAUGUCUUCUCUGAUACUGUGAUACAGUGCCAAAAUUUGAACGUCUGGAAGCAAUAAAAGGAACUGCAUUGAUAAGAAGAGAAGGUGCAAGAUUCUGAAACCAUCUGUCAUAUUUUAACACAUAUACAAGAGACUUUUGAUGUAAUUUAUUUUUUUUUCCCCCGUGCUUUCUGUAUUCCAUCUUCCUCAGUUUAACAUUGAAGAAGAGCUUUCAGACACACCUAUGUCAUCACCUUAUGUGGUACAUCCCAUGUCCAGAUGAAGCUGUACAAGGUAUCCCACAAGAGUUUUCCACUGGCCUGAAUUCAUGAGACACCUAAAGGUUGGACAACAGUCAGAGCAAAAAA